AAGACUAUACUUUCAGGGAUCAUUUCUAUAGUUCUUGACUUGAAAAAUGUGUUUCUAAAGUGUUUGGUCUCGCUAACCACGAUGAAGAGAUGAGAUAUCCCUUCCUGAACGUGAAGCUGACUUCGAAUAAUGAUUGUAUCAUACGUUCGGUGUCAUUGAUGAACGCUCAUCGCCCCCUUGUGGGGUUUUGAUGGAAGGGGUAUGUUCAGAGUGGU